AUGUGUCGUUGGGACGUGGCGGUGAAGGGAGACAUCUGGACGUGGGUGUCGUCGUGCGUGGCUUCCAAAGAAGAAGCCAGGGGGGUCUGCUUGUUGCGUACGAGAGCCGAGAAGGAAAUGGGUGAUUUGUUGUGUGUGUGUCUGGGCAGAGGAAAGGUGUCCUUGUCAGUCGGUGAAGAGGAAGGCAACGCAUUGUUCCAACAACACGCAGAGUUCGUUCGUGGGUGUUGCUACUCGAGAAUAUGCAUAGGCAAAGGUGAUGCACCAUCUUCAAGCAAUGAAGCCAUCCCUUUGUAUCAAGCCCGUAUAGAUAUUAUAGUUGAUGCCCAUUGA
rnacentral:rRNA from 1 species